rnacentral:lncRNA from 1 species
UUUCUCAGAACUCGAGACUUGACCUUCUUGUCGAAUGCUUUCAUCACUCUCUGCUGAUAUAACUGACCAUGACAUAUGGCAGUUGAUCUCUUCUUCUUGAUCGAAUUCAGCAUCAGUCAACUUGGGACUUUGAGGGUGCUAUUUUUUCUUUUGUUUUCUUUUGAUUUUGCUUUUGAUUUCUUUUGAUUUUGCACCCUCUUUUUCUUUGUUUUUUUUUUUUGAUUGAUUUUUUUUCUCUUUUUUGAUAAUGCCCCAGUUGGCUGUUCUGCUGAUUCUCGAGAUGCAGCUGAGUGUGAUCUUCUUUUCUUGCUCAAGAAGUCGGGAAAUACCGUCAGGAAUCCCCUCAAGCAUCAUCUUCUUCCGCUUCGAAUACAGGGAAUUCAAAAUUGGGAGAUGACGUCCGAUCAUUACAUUCAAUGGGUUUGAGAAACAACCUGCAUAAAGAUUUUGAGUAUAAAA